AUACGAAGGGUGCAAGCGUUAAUCGGAAUUACUGGGCGUAAAGCGAGCGUAGGUGGUUUUGUAAGUUGGAGGUGAAAGCCCCGGGCUCAACCUGGGAAUUGCCUCCAAAACUGCAUGACUAGAGUACGGUAGAGGGUAGUGGAAUUUCCUGUGUAGCGGUGAAAUGCGUAGAUAUAGGAAGGAACACCAGGGGCGAAUGCGAUUACCUGGAUAGAUACGGACGCUGGGGGGCGAAAGCGUGGGGAGCAAACAGGAUUAGAGCCCCUGGUAUUCCACGCCGUAAACGAUGUCAACUAGCCGUUGGGAUCCUUGAGAUCUUAGUGGCGCAGCUAACGCAUUAAUUUGACCGCCUGGGGAGUACGGCCGCAAGGUUAAAACUCAAAUGAAUUGACGGGG
rnacentral:rRNA from 1 species